rnacentral:misc_RNA from 1 species
GAUGAAGAACGCAGCGAAAUGCGAUAAGUAAUGCGAAUUGCAGAAUUUCCGUGAGUCAUCGAAUCUUUGAACGCACAUUGCGCCCGCCAGUAUUCUGGCGGGCAUGCCUGUUCGAGCGUCAUUUCAACCCUCAGGCCCCGCCUGGCGUUGGGGAUCGGCGCGGCCCUCUCCGGGCUGCCGGCCCCGAAAACUAGUGGCGGUCUCGCUGUAGUCCUCCUCUGCGCAGUAGCAACGCUCGCACUGGAACUCGGCGCGGCCACGCCGUAAAACACCCCACUUCUGAAAGUUGACCUCGGAUCAGGUAGGAAUACCCGCUGAACUUAAGCAUAUCAAUAAGCGGAGGA